CAGUCGUACGCUUCUUUUUCCACCGGAGCUUGCUCCACCGGAAAAAGAGGAGUGGCGAACGGGUGAGUAACACGUGGGUAACCUGCCCAUCAGAAGGGGAUAACACUUGGAAACAGGUGCUAAUACCGUAUAACAAUCGAAACCGCAUGGUUUUGAUUUGAAAGGCGCUUUCGGGUGUCGCUGAUGGAUGGACCCGCGGUGCAUUAGCUAGUUGGUGAGGUAACGGCUUACCAAGGCCACGAUGCAUAGCCGACCUGAGAGGGUGAUCGGCCACAUUGGGACUGAGACACGGCCCAAACUCCUACGGGAGGCAGCAGUAGGGAAUCUUCGGCAAUGGACGAAAGUCUGACCGAGCAACGCCGCGUGAGUGAAGAAGGUUUUCGGAUCGUAAAACUCUGUUGUUAGAGAAGAACAAGGAUGAGAGUAACUGUUCAUCCCUUGACGGUAUCUAACCAGAAAGCCACGGCUAACUACGUGCCAGCAGCCGCGGUAAUACGUAGGUGGCAAGCGUUGUCCGGAUUUAUUGGGCGUAAAGCGAGCGCAGGCGGUUUCUUAAGUCUGAUGUGAAAGCCCCCGGCUCAACCGGGGAGGGUCAUUGGAAACUGGGAGACUUGAGUGCAGAAGAGGAGAGUGGAAUUCCAUGUGUAGCGGUGAAAUGCGUAGAUAUAUGGAGGAACACCAGUGGCGAAGGCGGCUCUCUGGUCUGUAACUGACGCUGAGGCUCGAAAGCGUGGGGAGCAAACAGGAUUAGAUACCCUGGU
rnacentral:rRNA from 1 species